rnacentral:ncRNA from 1 species
CGUGAGGCGGGGGCGGAAAGCCGCGGGUCUCCGAGGGUAGGAGAUAGCCGGGUUGCCAGA